GUCUGCAAUACUACACGGGAAGCUCACUAGUUAUACGCGAAAAUCUGGAUAAACUUCUACCAGUAACUAGUUAAUAUGGGCAACGCCAUAGCAGCUGGUAUUGUGAACGUCCUGACGUCCAUAAUCCUGUGGACCGGCAAGGGCACGUGGUUUCUGCUGAAGCUAGGGUUCAGCGCAACUGGCAUCGUGGCCGGCAGCCUCGCCGCCUGCGCCAUGGCCUUCACCGGCAAUGUAAAAGCCAGCAGCAACAUAGCGCGCGCAACGUCGCGUGCUAUGACCAAUGUUAUGCGCUUGUGAAAUCUCUACACAAGAACGCUAGAAAGAAGUCGUUAAUAAACUGAAGGUUUAUUACAGGAAA